CAGAGUCCAUCACCCAGGAAGGCUGGGAGGUCCGGUGGCAGGAACUCACCUUUCAAGAUGCUGAAGUUGCUGCAGCUGGUCCUGCCACAUCUGGGAAUUUAUCCACCCAUUUGGCUGGGGCAGCCCCCGCCGCAGAUCAGAAGAAGAAACUCAACGGGCAGUUGGAGUCUGAAAGCUGGGAGGAAGCGCAGUUGGCAGUCUUCUUCCAGAGAUUCCAGGGCUGAGGAGUAGGAAUCUGAGUACAGAACUAUCCCUCAUAAGAUUUCCAGGAGUGAAAGGAGUGAAAGGAGCUCACUGACAUCAGGUCAUGAAUAGCCCAUGUGAGUUCAUAUGGCAUGAGAUCCCACCUCCAGAACUGUUGGGAAACAGGGAGCAGAAUGGGCCCUGAGAGCUCUGUCUAACUCAAUGUGGUGACCACAGGGGGCCUCGGGGUAUGGGACAGAAUGCCACUGAGGACAAGAAUCACAACCCUCCUAUUCAGGUGUCACUUGACAUUUAUAUUUUCACCAAGCCCAAGUGGUAAGGUUGUCAGAUAAAAUACAGAGAUGCCCAGUUACGUUUGAAUUUCAGAAGUCAGUGAAUAAUUUUUAGUUUAAGUGUAUGUUCCCAGGGGCGCCUGGGUGGGUCAGUGGGUUUAAAGCCUCUGCCUUCAGCUCGGGUCAUGGUUUCGGGGUCCUGGGAUCAAGCCCCACAUGGGGCUCUCCACUCAGCAGGGAGCCUGCUUCCCCCACCUCUUUGCCUGCCUCUCU